CCUACGGGAGGCAGUAGUGAGGAAUAUUGGUCAAUGGCCGGAAGGCUGAACCAGCCAAGUCGCGUGAGGGACGACUGCCCUAUGGGUUGUAAACCUCUUUUAUAAGGGAAGAAUAAAUGCUACGUGUAGCAUGAUCCCUGUACCUUACGAAUAAGCAUCGGCACACUCCGGUCCAGAAGCCGCGGUAAUACGGGGGAUGCGAGCGUUAUCCGGAUUUAUUGGGGUAAAGGGGUGCGUAGGCGGUUUUGUAAGUUAGUGGUUAAACGUCGGGGCUUCACCUUGAUUUGCCAUUAACACUGUAAGACUCGAGUUCAGACGAGGUAGGCGGAAUAAGUUAAGUAGCGGUGAAAUGCUUAGAGAUAACUUAGAACUCCGAUAGCGAAGGCAGCUUACCAGACUGCGACUGACGCUGAAGCACGAGAGCGUGGGUAGCGAACAGGAUUAGAUACCCCAGUAGUC
rnacentral:rRNA from 1 species